rnacentral:misc_RNA from 1 species
GUGAAUCAUCGAAUUUUUGAACGCAAAUUGCGCUCUCUUCUGAUAGGAUGCGCGUUUGAGGGUCAGUGUCGUUAAAAAUCGGAGUGUUGCUUCGUUGUGACUCUCGGGAGGUUGGGUCAUCUUAAUAUGCUUGAGGGUUUAGGAGGCUUAAAAUUGACUUUUUUUGCGCAUUUUAGAUGUACAUAAAUACUUUUGUUGUUUGGUCGGGCUGAAGGCUCAAAAGCCUAUUAGAUGCGACCAUAACGUGUGGUUUCGGUUCUAUAAA